rnacentral:misc_RNA from 1 species
UUUCCGUAGGUGAACCUGCGGAAGGAUCAUUAUUGUAUAACCGAGGUGCGAGGGCUGUCGCUGACCCGAAAGGACGUGCACGCCCGAGUGCCCUCACACGCAUCCAUCUCACCCCUAUGUGCACCACCGCGUGGGUCCCCCUUUGGCUUGUUCGGAGGGGGGCUUACGUUUUCACACAAACUUUGUAUGCAGUGUAGAAUGUAUUUUUUGUUUUUGCGAUCACGCAAUCAAUACAACUUUCAACAACGGAUCUCUUGGCUCUC